AACAUAUCUGUUCUUCAGAUCGCGAGUGAUCCCUCUUCUCUUCCUCUUCCUCUUCCUCUUCCUCUUCCGUUCUUCCGUAAGUACUCAAUCAAAAAAGUUUGUAGCUUGAAGGUAGAGAGAUCAAGCGACUGAGAGAGAGAGAGUGGUGUGGAAACAAAAGCAUGAUCUAAGUUUUUCCUCUCAGAUUUUCCGACAACAGUAUUCUCCAAUCGGAGCUUUUAGACAUUCCGACAGAAGCAUAAAAAGAUCAUUCCUUUCGUGUGUCUGUGUGUGUGAGGGGGUUUGUCGGAAAAAUGAAGCGGUACAGUCGCGCCGGUGAAGAAGGGCCGCGAUCGGAUCCGUCAAUUGAAUGGACCUCUCAUGGAGUCCAAACCGGAGUCGAAGCUUCGAUGUGGCGGUUAGGGUUAAGCGGCGGCAGAGCUGGAGGAGGAGGAGGAGGAGGAGAAGCGUACCCGGAGCGAUCAAAUGAGCCUGAUCGUGGAGCGGCAUUUGCGGGUACGGUUCAAGAUGUCGGUUUAAUCACCCGCGAGAUCGCGGAGCGGUUGUUGGAGGUGUGAGAGGAGGAGUUGAAGGAGAUGGAGCUUUACCGGAGAGAAUAGGACAACCGGUUUGUCAGCAUUUUAUGCGAACGGAAACGUGUAAGUACGGUGCUUCUUGCAAAUAUCAUCAUCCCAGACAAGGAGGAGGAGAUUCCGUUGCUCUUGUGGCAGGGGUGUUCAAGGAGUUUGGUUUUUGAUAGGGCUGGGCGUUCGGGUACCCAUUCGGGUUUCGGGUUUUCGAGGUCAAAGAUUUCAACCCCAUUCGGAUAUUUCUAAAUUUUGGUUCGGGUUCUGUUCGGAUCUUUGCGGGUUCGGUUCGGAUUCGGAUAACCCAUUUAAAAUGUUUUUAAAUUUUCAAAAUUCAUUAUAUACUUUAAAUUUUCAAAAUCUAUAAAAAAGAUAAUAUAUUACAUAUAAAUUUUCAUAACAUAUAUGUCAAAAUACCUUAAUUUAACAUAUAAAUUAGUUUUCUUUGAAUAUUUGGAUAAAGAAUCAAUAGAUAUUUAACUAUUUUGGUGUUUUCAGUAUACUUUAACUAUUUUAAACAUUUAUUUUUGACUAUUUGCAUAAAUUUUCCGAGUAUUUUGGAAAACUUAAAGGUAUCUUAUAUAUUUUUAAUAUACAUUAUAUAUAAAAAUAAUGUAUAUAUAUAAGUAUAUAAAUUUAUUUCGGAUACAUUCGGGUACCCAAAAUAUUUCGGUUCGGAUCGGGUUCGGUUUCGGUUCUUUAAAUACCGAAAUUUUGAACCCGUUCGGAUAUUUAAUCAAUUUCGGUUCGGAUUCGGUGCUACUUUUUCGGAUCGGAUUCGGUUUGGUUUUUCGGGUUCGGAUUUUUUGCCCAGCCCUAGUUUUUGAUUGAACCGAGGGUGGUCGUGUACCUCUCUUUGUGGGAUGAUGUUGCAUCAAUGUUUAAGGGUCUCAUCAACUCAGGUGAUAGGACACAGUCUGUCAUGGUGGUCACUAUAUAUGAAUCCCAAAAUAUUUGGAGGUAACCUAUACCUAAACUCAACGCCAGCAACAAAAUUUUAUUUCGACCCAACCCUUCAAGCCAUCUCAGAGUUCACAGCCCGCUUAGAAGGCACAGUGGGAUAAGCCUUUUUCCUGCAUCGACACCAAAGAUGGCAUUAAAAAAAAAAGUUGUCUCCAUAGGAGAGGCUCAACAAGUUCAUUACCAACUCUAAUGAACAAGAAAAAGUCCAGGUUCCAGAUGAGAUUAAGUUGUGUUUGGAUUGUAGACAAGAAUUUGUGAAUAAUUAAUCUACUGCUUUUGGUGAAGACACAUGAAGCCGAUUUCAUUUGCAAGGGUCGGGUUGUAGAAGUCCACUUUCUCAUGUCUGUUUUUUAAAUUACCAUGCAUUUACUCUUUUAAGACUUUCUAAUAUUUCCACUUUCUCAUGUCUUAUUUUAAAAAGACAACCCUAUCUCCAAUGUAAGUCAUGGGAGGAUGAGAUUUUCUUAAUUUUAAGUUUCAAAAGAUUUCACGUUA